rnacentral:Y_RNA from 1 species
GGCUGGACUGAAGGUGGUGAGUUCUCUCAAUUGAUUGUUCGCAGUCAGUUACAGAUUGAACUCCUUGUUCUGCUACUUUCCCCCCUUCUCACUACUGCACUUGAUUAGUCUUAA